GACGAACGCUGGCGGCGUGCUUAACACAUGCAAGUCGAGCGAUGAAGUUCCUUCGGGAACGGAUUAGCGGCGGACGGGUGAGUAACACGUGGGUAACCUGCCUCAUAGAGGGGAAUAGUCUUUCGAAAGGAAGAUUAAUACCGCAUAAGAUUGUAGUUUCGCAUGAAACAGCAAUUAAAGGAGUAAUCCGCUAUGAGAUGGACCCGCGACGCAUUAGCUAGUUGGUGAGGUAACGGCUCACCAAGGCGACGAUGCGUAGCCGACCUGAGAGGGGGAUCGGCCACAUUGGGACUGAGACACGGCCCAGACUCCUACGGGAGGCAGCAGUGGGGAAGAUUGCACAAUGGGGGAAACCCUGAUGCAGCAACGCCGCGUGAGUGACGACGGUCUUCGGAUUGUAAAGCUCUGUCUUCAGGGACGAUAAUGACGGUACCUGAGGAGGAAGCCACGGCUAACUACGUGCCAGCAGCCGCAGUAA
rnacentral:rRNA from 1 species